CCUACGGGUGGCUGCAGUGGGGAAUAUUGGACAAUGGGGGGAACCCUGAUCCAGCCAUGCCGCGUGUGUGAAGAAGGCCCUCGGGUUGUAAAGCACUUUCAGUGAGGAAGAACGCCUGGUGGUUAAUACCCAUCAGGAAAGACAUCACUCACAGAAGAAGCACCGGCUAACUCCGUGCCAGCAGCCGCGGUAAUACGGAGGGUGCGAGCGUUAAUCGGAAUUACUGGGCGUAAAGCGCGCGUAGGUGGCUUGAUAAGCCGGUUGUGAAAGCCCCGGGCUCAACCUGGGAACGGCAUCCGGAACUGUCAAGCUAGAGUGCAGGAGAGGAAGGUAAAAUUCCCGGUGUAGCGGUGAAAUGCGUAGAGAUCGGGAGGAAUACCAGUGGCGAAGGCGGCCUUCUGGACUGACACUGACACUGAGGUGCGAAAGCGUGGGUAGCAAACAGGAUUAGAUACCCCUGUAGUC
rnacentral:rRNA from 1 species